AUACGUAGGGGGCGAGCGUUGUCCGGAAUGAUUGGGCGUAAAGGGCGCGUAGGCGGCCCGGUAAGUCUGGAGUGAAAGUCCUGUUUUUAAGAUGGGAAUUGCUUUGGAUACUGUCGGGCUUGAGUGCAGGAGAGGUAAGUGGAAUUCCCAGUGUAGCGGUGAAAUGCGUAGAGAUUGGGAGGAACACCAGUGGCGAAGGCGACUUACUGGACAGUAACUGACGCUGAGGCGCGAAAGUGUGGGGAGCAAACAGGAUUAGAUACCCUGGUAGUCCACACUGUAAACGAUGAAUGCUAGGUGUAGGGGGUAUCGACCCCUUCUGUGCCGCAGUCAACACAAUAAGCAUUCCGCCUGGGGAGUACGGCCGCAAGGUUGAAACUCAAAGGAAUUGACGGGG
rnacentral:rRNA from 1 species